rnacentral:tRNA from 1 species
AGGGAUUUAGUUCAAUGGUAGAACAGAAGUCUCCAAAACUUUUGAUGAGUGUUCGAUUCAUUCAAUCCCUGCCA